UACGUAGGGGGCAAGCGUUGUCCGGAUUUAUUGGGCGUAAAGCGCGUGUAGGCGGCCAGAAAAGUCCGCUGUGAAAACUCGAGGCUCAACUUCGAGCUGUCGGUGGAAACUUUCUGGCUAGAGUCCGGAAGAGGAGAAUGGAAUUCCUAGUGUAGAGGUGAAAUUCGUAGAUAUUAGGAAGAACACCAGUGGCGAAGGCGGCUCACUGGUCCGGUACUGACGCUGAGGUGCGAAAGCGUGGGGAGCAAACAGG
rnacentral:rRNA from 1 species